UUUCAAGGGAUGGGAAUCGAACCCACGACCUUCCUCUUACCGGGCAGAUGCCAUGACCACUAGGCUACCCUGGA
rnacentral:tRNA from 1 species